rnacentral:rRNA from 1 species
GGAAUAUUGGUCAAUGGGCGAGAGCCUGAACCAGCCAAGUAGCGUGCAGGAUGACGGCCCUAUGGGUUGUAAACUGCUUUUAUGCGGGGAUAAAGUGCACCACGUGUGGUGUUUUGUAGGUACCGCAUGAAUAAGGACCGGCUAAUUCCGUGCCAGCAGCCGCGGUAAUACGGAAGGUCCGGGCGUUAUCCGGAUUUAUUGGGUUUAAAGGGAGCGCAGGCUGAAGAUUAAGCGUGACGUGAAAUGUCCCGGCUCAACCGUGGAACUGCGUCGCGAACUGGUUUUCUUGAGUGAGUACGACGUCAGCGGAAUUUGUGGUGUAGCGGUGAAAUGCUUAGAUAUCACGAAGAACCCCGAUUGCGAAGGCAGCCAACAAGGCCUUUACUGACGCUAAAGCUCGAAGGUGCGGGUAUCGAACA